rnacentral:rRNA from 1 species
UACAGAGGUCUCAAGCGUUGUUCGGAUUCAUUGGGCGUAAAGGGUGCGUAGGCGGCGCGGUAAGUCGGGUGUGAAAUUUCGGAGCCUAACUCCGAAACUGCAUUCGAUACUGCGGUGCUUGAGGACUGGAGAGGAGACUGGAAUUCAUGGUGUAGCAGUGAAAUGCGUAGAGAUCAUGAGGAAGACCAGUGGCGAAGGCGGGUCUCUGGACAGUUCCUGACACUGAGACACGAAGGCCAGGGGAGCAAACGGG